rnacentral:ncRNA from 1 species
AAAUUAUUAAGAAGACGGGAGAGAUAUAGCUCUGUGAACGUCUACCAACCAGCAGUUAGCUACGGUGGUACAGCUAUAAACGAUAAAUU